UUGUCACAACGGCUUCCUGGCGUGGCAAGGUAACCCCAAUGGAGCA
rnacentral:ncRNA from 1 species